AUAAUUUAGACAGAGCUUAGAGGGAAGAAAGAGGUUGACCAGAUGUAUAGAUGAUUGCUUGUGGCUGGAAGAGAAAUGAAGUGAGCAAGAAUUGCUGGAACAGUAUGAAGGGCCCACCAGAUGACCUCACCAUCUCCAUCAGCGUUUUCAAGGGUUUCUCCAUGUAUCCCUGACUGACCUGGAACUCAACUCUGUAGACCAAUGUGGCCUUGAGCUCAGACAUCCACCUGCCUCUGGAGUACUGGAUUAAAGUGACCGAUCGCUGCUUGGAUUUUAAAGGUUGUCAUCAAUUCAGUCUCAUCUUGGCAUGUUCCUACAUUGACGUGGUUUUAUCAAAGAUCCUCUCAUUGCCGUGGGAAUCGAAGGAAUAUAUAAGCAAACUGCUGUAAAAACAGUAGCUCCUGCAGCUGGCACCAAGAGAAGUCCAAGGUAUUUGCCCUUCAUUUGUUGUCCACAUGUAGCAUCCUGUCAAGUCACAGUGGACCUUUAGGCUGACAUUGACCCUGUUAUCUACAGUGCUACUAAAGAGACAAUAUCUGAAUGGGAAAAGAUGGACGGCAAAUAAAUUGAUCAAUAAGAAGAUUAAUAAUAAAGUGCCUGCAGACAAUUGAUUUUGGGUGAUAUAAUGAGCGGUAUCCAGGAUUCUUUGUGUAGCUAAAAAAAAAAAAUGCCUGAAGUAGUUUGAUGAGAGCGUGAGGUGGUGCAGACAUGCGUGCUGGAGGUCGGUAGAGUUCCUGCCUGACAGAGUCAACCUGACCUAGAGGGACGAUUCCUGAAGGGCCAUGAGACGACCGGGGGACACUCUGGAACCAGGCACUUUGGAAACAGGAACAGCGUGCGUCAAGGAAGCUGCACUGGGAAGCUUCUCACCCAUCAGGCUAUUUGGUGAGAAGAUUUGGCAGGGACAGGGGAAAAAUACAGACUAAUUUUGUCACUUGCUGAGGUAGAAGGGAUAUUGGGCAGUAACGCCUCCUACUCUGUACAUGUGCAUAUGGAGUCAUAAUCUUUAUUAUUAUUAUUAUUAUUAUUAUUAUUAUUAUUAUUAUCAUCAUUAUCAUCUGCAUGAGUCAGACUGGAGCUAGAUCUCAUUAAAGAGUCCCCAGGGAGUCUGAAGAGGAACUGAGGCAGACUCAUACCAACUCAAGCAUCCUCAUCAGUAGUUAAGGACUUACCCAGAGUCUGGUGCAUUGAACCUCCACUGAAAAGGCUCAGUCUCAAGGAUCAGCGUUGUAUCUGAGACCCUAGCAUCAGCCUAUGACCCCCGGUGUGCUGGUGCACACCUUUAACCCCAGCACUGCCAAGGCAGGUGGGUCUCUGUGAGUUCUAGGCCUAGUCUACAUAGUGAGCUCCAGGCCAGCUAGAACCACGUUGUGAGAUUCCGUCAGAACAAAAACCUCGGUGGUCAAGACUUCAGCCGAGAGGGCUCAAUGGACAUAAAAACAGAAAGAGUGGAUAGUGCUUGAUUAGAAGUUUCCCUGGUGUUAACAUGCAUACGUAUGGUCCUAUCAUUACAAAGUCCCUGUUUCUUCAUCUUUAAAUGUUUCAGACAGUGAACAUUUAGAUUCAUUUUCUCUCUGUUACCAAUAAAACCAAACCUAUUUUCAAAGUU
ensembl:lncRNA